UACGGGGGGGAGCAAGCGUUGUUCGGAUUUACUGGGCGUAAAGGGCGCGUAGGUGGCCAGCACAAGUCAGUUGUGAAAUCUCCGAGCUUAACUCGGAAAGGUCAACUGAUACUGUGCGGCUAGAGUGCAGAAGGGGCAACUGGAAUUCUUGGUGUAGCGGUGAAAUGCGUAGAUAUCAAGAGGAACACCUGCGGCGAAGGCGGGUUGCUGGGCUGACACUGACGCUGAUGCGCGAAAGCUAGGGGAGCGAACGGG
rnacentral:rRNA from 1 species